GGUAUUUUAAGUAUAAUUGGAGUGUAGAAAGUGAAAGAAAUUGAUUUGGAGUUAAAUUGGAGGUUUUAGCCAAUUACACCGAGAAUAGUGCGAAUUAGGUCGAAUAUCGUAUUUAAAUGGCUAUUCGAACAUUUUGCAUCACAUUUUGUGCAUUCAUAUAGAUUUAUAGAGCUUGAAAUAGUUUAUGAUAAAUUGACACAAUUUAUUGAAAUUCGUGUCACAUAUGAUGUAUAGGUGGUGAGCCCUCUAACAAGGGUAAAGAGAUUGUGC
rnacentral:lncRNA from 1 species